rnacentral:rRNA from 1 species
CGCACGGGUGAGUAACACGUAUGGAACCUGCCCUAUGCAGGGGGAUAAGCGGAAGAAAUUCCGUCUAAUACCGCAUAACACCUUUAGGAGACAUCUUCUUGGGGGUCAAAGGAGGCGACUCCGGCAUAGGAUGGCCAUGCGUCGCAUUAGCUAGUCGGCGGGGUAACGGCCCACCGAGGCGACGAUGCGUAGGGGUUCUGAGAGGAAGGUCCCCCACACUGGUACUGAGACACGGACCAGACUCCUACGGAAGGCAGCAG